rnacentral:tRNA from 1 species
AGACCAUUGGCUCAAUGGUAGAGCGUUCGACUCACUUACCAAAGGUCGUGGGUUCGAAUCCUAGGUGUUCCA